rnacentral:lncRNA from 1 species
AGGCUCUCCGAAGAACAACAGCGGGCAUGGAGCAUUAGUUAUCAUUUGACGAUACAUUAGAAUUAAGUUGUUAGUUAUCAUCUGUAUUUCAUUAGUUUUGACUUCAUCACCGAAAAAACCAAGAUCGAUUAUGGUUCCAUUACGGACAUGUGGAUUACGUCUUGCAUCGUAGAGGGAAGAACCUUCGACAUCGAACAUAGCAGGCAAACGCAUGCCGCUUGGAUGGUCCCAGUUCCAAUAUGGCAGAGCAAAAGUUGGAUCAUCGAUGAGGGAGCCCAAGAUUCUCUCGUAGAAGUACAAGUACCAUCUAUGAAACGGGAAGAAAAGCCACGAUUGGUGAACUUGUAACUUUUGGUCACCCAUUGUGUAAGCAUCGUUGCAAUAAGCACAAUGGAUAUUAGCUUGUUGCUUGAAGCCAAGAGGAUCAAAUGGGUCUUUGUCUAAUUCCCUCAUUUUACUAGUGGCUAACUGGUACUUGGCUAUAUACUCCUCACUCACGUCUUGGGCAGGGGGCCGCUUACGAAGCUUGGACAUGCGAGGGAUCUUGUAAUAUGGAACGCUGUCCAUAUCAUCUGGUGUAGGGGGGCAACAAGAAUAUGGUACAGUUGGACCAUCCGUUAUCGUGGCCGGGCCACAUGAUUUUAGAUCGGGGGGUGGUACGGGAGCAGCAGAGGCUAAUGGCGCAAGAUUAGUUGCGCCAUACAGCCCUCCUAAACCCAAAAGGACAUUCCUUCUGUCAACAGCUCCUUCUUUAACUGCGUCAAGCUGGUUUCCGUCAUGCUCGCCUGUGCAUGAAACCUUGAAACUUUGGUUACCUUUUCCAUUGAGGAAAAGAUGAGAGGGUUU